rnacentral:rRNA from 1 species
UGCCUCAGUAACGGCGAGUGAAGCGGCAACAGCUCAAAUUUGAAAUCUGGCCCCCCGGCCCGAGUUGUAAUUUGCAGAGGAUGCUUUUGGCGAGGCACCUACCGAGUCCCCUGGAAUGGGGCGCCACAGAGGGUGAGAGCCCCGUAUGGUAGGACGCCGAGCCUCUGUAAAGCUCCUUCGACGAGUCGAGUAGUUUGGGAAUGCUGCUCUAAAUGGGAGGUAAAUUUCUUCUAAAGCUAAAUACCGGCCAGUGACCGAUAGCGCACAAGUAGAGUGAUCGAAAGAUGAAAAGCACUUUGAAAAGAGGGUUAAAAAGUACGUGAAAUUGUUGAAAGGGAAGCGCUUGUGACCAGACUUGCGCCCGGCGGAUCAUCCAGCGUUCUCGCUGGUGCACUCCGCCGGGCUCAGGCCAGCAUCGGUUUCCGCCGGGGGACAAAGGCUUCGGGAACGUAGCUCCUCUCGGGGAGUGUUAUAGCCCGUCGCGUAAUACCCCGGCGGGGACCGGCGACCGCGCUUCGGCAAGGAUGCUGGCGUAAUGGUCAUCAGCGACCCGUCUUGAAACACGGACCGAGGAGUCAAGCAUUAGUGCGAGUGUUUGGGUGUAAAACCCGCACGCGUAAUGAAAGUGAACGUAGGUGAGAGCUUCGGCGCAUCAUCGACCGAUCCUGAUGUUUUCGGAUGGAUUUGAGUAGGAGCAUUAACGCUUGGACCCGAAAGAUGGUGAACUAUACUUGAAUAGGGUGAAGCCA